AGAACGAACGCUGGCGGCAGGCCUCAAACAUGCAAGUCUAGGGGGCGUAGCAAUACGUCACCGGCGGACGGGUGCGUAACACGUGGGAAUGUACUUACUGGUUCGGAACAACUCAGGGAAACUUGAGCUAAUACCGAAUGUGCCCGAAAGGGGAAAGAUUUAUCGCCAGUAAAUCAGCCCGCGUCCGAUUAGCUAGUUGGCGGGGUAAAGGCCCACCAAGGCGACGAUCGGUAGCUGUUCUGAGAGGAAGAUCAGCCACACUGGGACUGAGACACGGCCCAGACUCCUACGGGAGGCAGCAGUUGGGAAUCUUGGACAAUGGGGGAAACCUCGAUCCAGCCAUGCCGCGUGAGGGACGAAGGCUUUCUGAGUUGUAAACCUCUUUCUAGCAGGGACGAUUGUGACGGUACCUGCAGAAGAAGCCCCGGCCAACUACGUGCCAGCAGCCGC
rnacentral:rRNA from 1 species